ensembl:misc_RNA Metazoa_SRP Metazoan signal recognition particle RNA
GCUGGGCAUGGUGGCUCAUGCCUGUAAUUCCAGCUACUUGGGAGGCUGAGGCAGGAGAAUCACUUGAACCCAGGAGGCGGACGUUGCAGUGAGCUGAGAUGGCGCCACUGCACUCCAGCCUGGGUGACAGAGUGAGACUCUGUCUCAA